CAUGGCGACAGGUUACGUUUUGCAAAUCACUAAUUUAGUUUUUGUGUAUUGGUUAACCGCGCGUUACGUGUUGAAGACAUAGAAUUUUGAAAUUUUCUGGAUUCCAGCGUGUACUUCAUUCAAUUCCAUUUGUAGUGUCACAUACAGACAAAGAUUAUUAUGCCGCGCAGUAGAACCGGUAAAGCAAGGGACCCCAUCAACAUAGCAAAUCUUCAAGCAGCAGUAAGUGACGUUUUGACUCAAAAUACCAGUCUAAGGGAUGCUGCGCGACUACAUGGUGUAAGUAAGUCCACACUAGCAAAAAUUUGUCAAGAACGAAGAAGUUUAUGAUCUCCCUUGUUCAGACGUUGUUAAAAAAUUGCCCACACCAAAAACAGUUGGGGGGUCUGAACGCCGUAUGGAGCAAUUUUUGUUUCCCGUGGAUUUUUCAUGUUAUCAUAUCAAUUAAUUAUCUACUAUUAAUAAAUAAAUGAAUACUA